AGUGAAGAGUCAUACAAGGACAGUACUUUGAUCAUGCAGUUGUUGAGAGACAAUCUUACUCUUUGGACCUCCGAUUUACCUGAGGAUGGAGGUAAGAUGAUGAUUGAGACUUAAUAUGCAUUUAGACUGUGCCCUGCUAGCAAUAUUUUGUGACUUCUUAGUCCAUGUCUAUAUACUAAAAAAAAAACUAUAUGAAACAGAACAGUUUAUAAUUCAAACAAUAACUAUUCCCACCCGAAUUUCACGCCUCUUUUUUAAUUUAUUAUUACACUAUCAUAUUAUAUCAUACACAUUAUGCUAUAAUACUACAAUAUAUUAUAAUUUAUUAAUUAUAUUACUCUGUAUUGCUAAUGAGUUGAAGUUGGAAAUUGUCUUUUUGUAUGGUCAAGACUUUUUUGUAUCAUACAUGGAUGAAAAGUGAAAUUUAGUCUAACAUUGUUGAUUCUUUUAAACAUAAGGGCCUAAUUUGACAUGAAAAAAAGAUAAACGAUCUAUUCGAAACUUUAAAUAAAAUUAUAAGAUAUCCGAAGUAGUUUUUCCUAUGUAAGGAUCUGUAGUAGCAUCUGUGAGUCCUUAAAUGACUGUGCUGUUAUAGUAAAGAUAUGCUGAAGUGUUCAAAGUUUAUAUAGCAAGAUAUAGAAUCCACCAAAAUUGAGUUACGCAACUCUAUUGUUGUGUUCAAAUAAUGAAUGCUCUCAUGCAGGUGACGAAUUCAAAUCAGAAGAGGCCAAACUCAUUGAACAUGAGGUAUGUGUAUGAUUCAUAAUUAGAUUCAUUACUAGUUUUGUUUCUUGCUGAUAACUGUAAUAUUUUUAUUUGUGUUUACAGCACUGAUAUAGCACGUUGAUCCUGGACGCAUCUAAUGGCCCUGCUGCAAAGAGAGCAUUUUUCAGCUUAUCUUGCCGUUCAUAUCGAACCGAACUUCAUAGUUACUGUGUUCACCUUAUAUCCAACAAAUACUAUAUAGUUCGAUAUGUGGCUCCUCUUUUUUAUAAUUACCGAAUUUUUUUCCUUACUAUUUUGAUUUAUUUCAGGUUAAGUAGUCGUUUGAAGUAAUGGAUGAUAAUUUACAAAUACUUAAAUGUAUCUCUUUUCUUUGUUGAUUAAUUUGAAACGCUUAUCAAAAUUCACAUCUUACAGUAUCCCACUUACAUAAGAAUAUUUAUCCUUUCUAAUUGCAGUUCUCUUAAAUUUGCAAACUUGCGAAGCAUCGUAUUAUUACCUAUACAAAGUUGAAAGUAAAUCAUUUUAAAUUAAUCAAUAAGUCCUUCAAUAAUUGACAAAUCGUAUACAUUCAAAAAUCUAUCUCUAUUAAUGCUACCUUGCUUUUCUUUACUAUAAAAAAUUAUUCUUUGCUCACAUAUUGUUGUGCCUUGAGUUCCAUAAAAGGCUGUUGAAUAAAAGAAAACUCCAUGAAAACACCAUGAAAAAAGCCUGAAAAUAUAGAGAAGAAGAAAAAAUAUAGAGAAGAAGAAGCAAUGUAUUACAUGUGCAACUUGAACUUUGCCAAAUAAUUAGAAUACUUUAUAUGUUUAUCAUGAUGCUAC
rnacentral:lncRNA from 1 species